GUGCUUAUGGUGUAGUGGUUAUCACAUCUGUCUAACACACAGAAGGUCCUAGGUUCGAGCCCUGGUCAGCACA
rnacentral:tRNA from 1 species